GGAAAGCCGAUCCCGCUAAUCUGCUCGGCUGACCGGUUGGGCAGCUGCACCGGCUGUUCACCUUCCCGGCCAGGCACGCCCAGGACCAGCGCGAGCUGUGCGAGGACCAGAGCAUGUGGGGGACGCGGCUGGCGCUGCUGGCGCUGGUGCUGGCUGCCCGCUGGGAGCUCGUGGUGGCCCUGCAAUGCUACACCUGUCACGAGCCCACCAGUGUGUCCAGCUGUGUCACCACCGCCACCUGCAGCUCCAACGAAACCAUGUGCAAAACCACACUCUACUCCCUGGAGAUCGUGUACCCCUUUCUGGGGGACUCCACGGUGACCAAGUCCUGUGCCAGCAAGUGCGUGCCCUCGGACGUGGAUGGCAUCGGCUUGACCCGGCCCGUGUCCUGCUGCAACACUGACCUGUGCAACGUGGAUGGGGCGUCUGCCCUGGGCAGCCCCCGCGGCCUGGCCACCACCCUCCUGCUCAGCCUCCUCAUCAUCCUGCAACUCUAAAGCCCCCCCCUCCCUCCCCGCCGCCCAGCCCCCAGUGCCUCGGAAGAAUCGCAGCCCCUCCUGCACCAGGCCUCCUGAAUCUCUUUUCUUGGAGCGGACCUGUCCGCUGGGCAGGGGAGCACCGCCCGCUGCGUUGCUGGCUCUGUCAGCCUAGGCCCUGUCCCCCUUGGGCCUCUCGGUCCUUCCAUCUGUGUCCCAAGGCCUCUGCCCACCCCAGCCCCCCGGGCUCUCUUGGGAGCUGCCUCCCCCGUGCCCACAUUGCUGCCCUGUCUGUCCAUGUGCCCUCCAUCUCCCUGUGACAUGGUAAGCAGAGACGGUCACUGGUCCUGGGACACUGGGCAGGUCCCUGCUCACCUGGCCUUGGCGGGUCUGGGUGCCUGAUCAGGCAGGGCAGGGAGUCGGGUAUCAUGGGCAGGGGAGCUCCACGGCCACAAGGACUAGGUCAGGGGUGGCUUCUUGGAGGGGGCACCAGGGUCGCCCCUGAACGACAGGGAGACUGGGUGGGUAGAAGAGGCAGCCCAGGCGGAAGGUAAGUCCAGGGGGCCCAAGAGUGGCCGAGGGUCUGGGGUUACUCCAUGAAGCGCCCCACAGCUCACUGGCCUGGCCCCUGAACAAGGCUUUACACGUGGCUGGUCCCCUGCGUUGUGUGGCAGAGGGUGCUGAGAGGAGGCUGGCAGGCGGGCUGGCCCUUCUGCAGUGCCCCCCCUCCCAGAAAGCCCUGGCCCCACCCUCACCAAGCCCCAUGCCCUGGUGUGCAGGGCAGCCCAAGCUCCAGUGCAGAGGGGACUUUGGCUUCACCUUGGCCUUGGGCCAGCACCAAAGCCUCCAGACCAUCUCUCAGAGGGCCACCUGCCCGACAGGCCUCUCCCACCUUCCCCCACCCGAAACAUGCACCUGUCUCAGAAGCACUCGGGACAGGCCGGCGCCUGAAAAAGGAUGGACCCGGGGGCAGGAGGCGAGCCCUGCUCACCCCGGUUCCUGCCCUCCUCUCAGCCUGUCCCUGCCCCUCCCUGCUCUCCUAGGUCCUGGGGUGAGGGGGCCUCCUGGGCUCUGCAAGGGGCCCCCAGCGCCUCCAGCUGAGCUGAGACGGGUCCACACAGCCUUUCUUCUGCACCACAGGGCACCCCAGCCCACAACCCUGAGUCCAGAGACCCCCCCCCAAUCAGCCAACCCCUCUUCAAGGAGCUCCUGCUCCCGGAUGGAGGGCGGUGGUGGCCAGGACCCAAAGCAGGGCUGUCCUGGGUGAGGGACUCCCGCCUGUGCGAGAAGAGACUGGAGCCUAGGAUUCCCCCUGCUCCUUGGGCCCCAGGAGCUCCACCCUCUGCUUCCUGUGGGCAGGACUCUUGUCCGAGCCAGCUCCCAGGGGGCUGGACCCUCACAGAGACCCUGUGCGGCUCUCUGAGCAGACCCUGGAAUGGCAGGUCACCGGGGGCCAGAAUGUUCAAACACUGUCUUGGAGGCCACACUUGGGGCUGUGACUCUGAGCCUUGACCUUUGGGAGGGAAGACUGCCCUCAGUUGUCCAUCACAGCCCUCAGCUGGCCCUGUUCCCACAGAAGCAGGGAGACAGGGCUUGCCUGGCCUCAGACUCAGGAAACACAGACACACACAGACAGACACACACACAUGAACACACGGCUGUACGGAGACACAUGGGGAGGCUGGAUGCCACCCCCACCCCGGCUACCACCCCACCUGCAGUGCCCUCCCUGCCAUCCUAAACCUCCAACGUCAUCCGGCUCCUCAAAGCUGGGCCAGGGCCCUGCCCAGGCAGCCUCCCCCGACGGCAUGUGGGAUUCCCAUCCCGAGCCAGGACCGGCCUGUUCUGGGCACGCCCGCCCCACCGCUGCUCCGUCCCGCCUCCUGUGGACACACCCUCACCAGCCACCCUCAGGCUUAAUCACCCUCUGCCCAGCCCUCACGGAAAAGGGGCUCAGGGUAGCUUGUGCACAGACGGUCCCGCAGGAGACAGGGGGAGCAAGCCCCACUCAACCCAUCAGGCUCUAGGCCAGACACUUCCAGCUCUUCUCGAAACACCCUGGGUGCGUUGGGGGACCAAGCCCCAGAGAAGAGCCUCCCCUGCUGCGCCCGCCUGACUGCUUGAUAUGCGGUAACCAGUGUCUCUCCCUUGGCAAACAUGACUUGCCUUUGUUUCCUUGC
rnacentral:lncRNA from 1 species